GGCUGCAGUGAAAACACUGGCAGUGGGGGCCAGGAAGCUAAGCAGGGUCAAGCCUGGCAGGGACUUGGUUGGGGGACUGCGUGAAAAGACUAGGGGCUGUAGUCU
rnacentral:rRNA from 1 species